AUGGCACCAAGUCAAAACAGAGACAGUAGAGAAAAUGAGACACCCCACUCCCUCAUUUUUUCAGGUCGGGUGGGGCUACUCUACUUAUUGCCCCUGACCCACAGGGGGGGGGGCCCCGGAGGAGAGACAUCUCACUGGCAAAAAUGUUCUGGUCGGGCGGGUGGGGAGAGCGGGGAGAGGACAACAAGUAGACCAGAACCACUGGCUUCACGCAGGAAAGCAUGCUCAUGUGAGAGAGGGAACACACACUUACAUAGACAGGAACCUUGACCAUUUUUUUCCAACGGUAAACUGCCUCAGUAAGACAUAUUAAUUUAUCCACCAUCUUUGGUCAAAACAUUCAUCCAUGCUAGCAUUGGCACUUUCUUCUAGGUUGGGUGAUAUACAAUCUCAUAUUGUUGAUUUCCCCUUGUUAAAUCUCAUGGUAAGCUACUCAAGAAUCAAGUCACGGGUAUACAAUAAUAUCAUAAAAUUGCCCAACCCUACUCUCUUUGUUCCCGUUAGGCUCCUGUAUAGCUCUACGAUUAAAGUACAUGCUCUACUGUCUGGUUGAAUCCAAACACCUUGGUGGUAAGUCAAGAGACACUGCUCUGUCCCACAACAAGAAAUUGUGUAAAUUAAAAAUGUCUAACUCCACGGUUAGACUUAUGUCGGCAAUAGGCAGGUCUGUUCCUUCACUCUAAGGCCACAUACAGUUGGAAGUUGGAAGUUUACAUACACUACGGUUGGAGUCAUUAAAACUAGUUUUUAAACCACUCCACAAAUUUCUUGUAAACAAACUAUAGUUUUGGCAAGUCGUUUAGGACAUCUACUUUGUGCAUGACACAAGUCAUUUUUCCAACAAUUGUUUACAGACAGAUUAUUUCACUUAUAAUUCACUGUAUCACAAUUCCAGUGGGUCAGAGGUUUACAUACACUAAGUUGACUGUGCCUUUAAACAGCUUGGAAAAUUCCCGAAAAUGAUGUCAUGGCUUUAGAAGCUUCUGAUAAGCUUAUAGACAUCAUUUGAGUCAAUUGGAGGUGUACCUGUGGAUGUAUUUCAAGGCCUACCUUCAAACUCAGUGCCUCUUUGAUUGACAUCAUGGGAAAAUCAAAAUAUAUUACCUAAGAAUUGUAGACCUCCACAAGUCUGGUUCAUCCUUGGGAGCAAUUUCCAAAGGCCUGAAGGUACCACGGCCAUCUGUACAAACAAUAGUACGCCAGUAUAAACACCAUGGGACCCCGCAGCCAUCAUACCAUGUUCUGUCUCCUACAGAUGAACGUACUUUGGUGCGAAAAGUGUGAAUCAAUCGCAGAACAACAGCAAAGGACCUUGUGAAGAUGCUGGAGGAAACAGGUACAAGUAUCUACUGUAUAUCCACAGCAAAACGAGUCCUAUAUCGACAUAACCUGAAAGGUCGCUCAGCAAGGAAGAAGCCAAUGCUCCAAAAUUGCCAUAAAAAAGCCAGACUACGGUUUGCAACUGCACAUGGGGACAAAGAUUGUACUUUUUGGAGAAAUGUCCUCAGGCAUGAUGAAAAAAAA
rnacentral:lncRNA from 13 species